rnacentral:rRNA from 1 species
GACGAACGCUGGCGGCGCGCUUAACACAUGCAAGUCGAGCGAUGAAACUUUAACAGAACCCUUCGGGGCGAAGAUAAAGUGGUUUAGCGGCGGACGGGUGAGUAACACGUGAGUAACCUUCCUUAGACAUUGGGAUAGUCUCGGUAAACCGGGAUUAAUACCAAAUAAAAUCAUAAUGACACAUGUCAUAACGAUCAAAACUCCGGUGGUCUAAGAUGGACUCGCGUCCCAUUAGCUAGUUGGUAGAGUAAAACCCUACCAAGGCGACGAUGGGUAGCCGGGAUGAGAGGGAGAACGGCGACAAUGGAAAUGAGAAACGGACCAAACUCCUACGGGAGGCAGCAGUGGGGAAUAUUGCAAAAUGGAGGGAACUCUGAUGAAGCGACGCCGGGUGAACGAAGAAGGCUUUCGAGUAGUAAAGUUCUUUUAUAUGGGAAGAUAAUGACGGUACCAUAAGAAAAAGCCCCGGCUAACUACGUG